rnacentral:rRNA from 1 species
UGGGGAAUUUUGCACAAUGGGGGAAACCAUGAUGCAGCGACGCCGCGUGAUUUAGAAGGCCUUCGGGUUGUAAAAAUCUUUUCUAUGGGAAGAAAAUGACAGUACCAUAGGAAUAAGGACCGGCUAAUUACGUGCCAGCAGCCGCGGUAAUACGUAAGGUCCGAGCGUUGUCCGGAAUCAUUGGGCGUAAAGGGUACGUAGGCGGGUAAGCAAGUUAGAAGUGAAAUCCUAUAGCUCAACUAUAGUAAGCUUUUAAAACUGCUCAUCUUGAGGUAUGGAAGGGAAAGUGGAAUUCCUAGUGUAGCGGUGAAAUGCGCAGAUAUUAGGAGGAAUACCGGUGGCGAAGGCGACUUUCUGGCCAUAACCUGACGCUGAGGUACGAAAGCGUGGGUAGCAAACAGG